AUUCUAACAAAAAACAUCCGCCUCUUUCUCUAGUUUCUCUCUCUAAUCUGACGAAAACCUUCGCCCCCUCUCUUCCUCGACCUCCAUGCCUCCGUCGCCGACGAAUCCAUCACCAUCUACUGUCUUACCUGUAUCUAGCCGAACUUCCACCGCACAAUACCAAGCCGCUGCUCCAGCCAGCGCCACCAGCCGCCGCUGCAAGCAGCCAUGCAGCCGGCGAACAAACCAACGAAGCUCCCCCACCGCCUCAUUCUUUUCUCCGCUCAGCUGUCAUCCCAACAAUCAUUAACUACCGGCGACCUACAACAGUAACACCAACAGCUGCCAGCAGUAGCAGUAGCUAGUCCAUAGCCAACCCCCGGCAACCUCCCCCAGUUCGUCCUCCCUCGCCUCCCCGCCUCUCAUUCGUCACAUCCUCGCUGGAGUUGAUGACUGACGAGGUUUUAAAUGAACUUCUCUGCGAUUAUCAUUUGAUGACAUCCGGUGGUGACGGUGAUCGUUCUCGUCCUGAUAAGAGUUUGAAGUCAACUGCUAAGAAGAAUUCUAGGACGCCUAUAGACUCUAAUAGAAAAACUUUAGGAUUUUGUUUAAGUGUUUUGGAUGUUGUUGGAUUAAUUAUUAAGUGUUUUGGAUUUUGGAUU